GUGAAUCAUCGAAUUUUUGAACGCAAAUUGCGCUCUCGGGUGUUCCGGAGAGGAGGCCUGGUUGAGGUGCAGGUUAAGUAAAAAUCGGUGUGGUUGCUGCCUUUCGUGGUGACGCACGGGGGUUGGGUCGUGUUGCCUUCGGUUAAGUGACCUGAAAUUUUGCAUGAGUUUUUGCGAACGUAUUUAAAUGGUGUGACGGACGUUUGCGAGAUCGAAGACUUGGUGUUGUCAGCCGGAUGUUGCGCGCCUAUAAUUUUUCGUCA
rnacentral:misc_RNA from 1 species